UACAGAGGUGGCAAGCGUUGUUCGGAAUUACUGGGCGUAAAGGGCGCGUAGGCGGCCUUCUUAGUCAGACGUGAAAUCCCUAGGCUUAACCUAGGAACUGCGUCUGAUACUGGAAGGCUAGAGUUCGGGAGAGGAAUGUGGAAUUCCAGGUGUAGCGGUGAAAUGCGUAGAUAUCUGGAGGAACACCGGUGGCGAAGGCGGCAUUCUGGACCGAAACUGACGCUGAUGCGCGAAAGCCAGGGGAGCAAACGGG
rnacentral:rRNA from 1 species